rnacentral:lncRNA from 1 species
UUUUUUUCUCUGUUAUUUGCCUUCCACAAGAUUUUAAGAAUUAAAUGUUUUAUAAAGUAUAACAUAUUCAGGUAAGGGUACGGCUCAAUGGAGUUUCACAAAGUAAACACAUAGAUGUGACCAGCGACCCCUCAGGCCCCCUCACAGUCACCAUCUCCCCCCUCUAUCACCACCUGCCUCUUCCCAAAGGUAACAACUGUUUUGAUGUCUGCUGUCACAUGCAUUUUUCCUCCUUUUGCUCCUCAAUAUUAUGUACUGCUAUCACAUUUUUGUGCAUGACUUUGGGUGAAUACACAGGUACUUUUAGUUCUGUAUAUUGAAGAGCAGAAUUGUUGGGGGACCGGGCACAAAUAUCUUUACUUUGUUUCAAAUUAUGCUCUCACCAAAAAGGUGUGAAAAUUCAGUAUUAAUUCAAAUCCUUGCCAGAACUUGAUAUUAUCGGCCUUUUCCCCCUUUUUUAGGGCCAUACCUGUGGCAUAUGGAAAUUCCCAGGCGAGGGGUGGAACCACAGCAGCAGCUGCAGGCCCACAGCACAGACACAGCAACGCUGGAUCUGAGCUUUAUCUUCGAUCCAUGCCACAGCUUGCAGCAAUGCCGGAUCCUUAACCCAUGAGAGAGGCCAAGGAUCGAACCUGCAUCCUCCCAGAGACUAUGUUGGGUCCUUAACCCCCUGAGCCACAAAGGGAACGCCAUAGCCUUUUAAUUAUAAUAAUUCUGUUAAAUGCGUAGUGGCACUCAUUAUGGUUUUAUUUUGCAUAUUCAUGGUAAUCAAUGAGACUGAACACCUUUUAUCUUCAUUGGGCAGUUAGAGUGUCUCUUCUGUUAAGUAACUCGAACAAUUUUUGUCCUUUUUUUCUAAUGCAUAUAGUAAUAAUAUAUAUAUUUAUUGUUAAUUUGUAAGCCUUCUUUAUUAUGGAAAUGAAUUCUUUGUCAGGUAUGUAUAUUGUAAAUAUAUUCUCCCAUUCUGCAGGUUGCCUUUUUAUCAUAUCAUGGAAACUUUUGAUAAAUAGAAAUCAUUAAUGGUUUCAAACUUUUCAAUUUGAAAUAACUUUAGACUUAAACUUUAGACUUGCAAAUAGUAGAGUUCCUGUAUAUCCCUCAUCCAGCUUUCCCUAAUAGUAACAUAUUACAUAAUCAUAGUGCAAUUACUGAAGCCAGAAAACUAACAUUGUCACAAUACUAUUAACUAAUCCACAGACCUUAAUCUCAUUUUGCCAAUGGUCCACUACCACUUUUUUUUACAGGUCAGGAUCCAGUCCAGGAUCCAACAUUGCCUUAGAUUGUUGAGUCUUCUUGGUCUCUUGCAAUCUGUGGUAAUUCCUUAGUCUUUGUUUUUUUACGACCUUGACACUUUUGAAGAGUUAUUUUGUAGCAUGUCCCUCAGUUUGGGUUUGUCUGAUGUUUUCUUAUGAUUGGAAACACUAUUUUAAGCAUUGUAACUAUAAACAUGGUAUCUAAGUUUUGGGUAUCUAAGUUUCUGGGUACUUUUUUUGUCAUCCUUUUCAGCAUUCUGUUCUGAAUUUUGAUAAAUAUUUAAAGUCAUGCAACCACUACCCCAAUCAACAUAUAAAACAGUCUUAUUAACCCCCUAAAAUUCCCUCAUGUGCCUUUGUAGUCAACUUCUUACCCUCAACCCCAAAUCCUGGCAACUACCUAUCUGUUUUUUUAUCCCCAUAGUUUUGUUUUUACAGAAUGUCAUAUAAAUAGCAUCAUACAAUGUGGAGCCUUUUGAGCCUGGCUUCUUUCACUUAGCAUAAUGCAUUUGAGAUACAUUCAUGUUUGUUUAUCAGUAGUUUGUUCCUUUCCACUGCUGAGUAGUAGUCCAUUGUGUGGAUGUACAAUAAUUUGUUUAUCCAUUUACCACAUGGUGGACAUUUCAGCUGUUUCCAGUUUCUGGCUAUUACAAAUAAAGUCAUUAUAAAAGUUUGUGUACAAGUCUUUGGGAGGGCACAAGCUUUAAUUUCUCUUGGAAUACCUAGGCAUGGAACUACUAAGUCGUAUGGUAAGUGUGUUUAACUAUGUGUAUAAGUAAUUGCCAAACAGUUUUUCAAAGUGGUCGUGGCAGUUUGCAUUACCACCAGCAAUACAGAAGAAUUCCAGGGGAGUACCUGCUGUGGUUCAGGGGUAACAAAUUUGACUAGUAUCCAUGACGAUGUGGGUUUACUCCCUGAUCCUACUCAGUGGGUUAAGGAUCUGGCAUUGCUGUGAACUACGGUGUAGGUUGAAGUUUCGGCUCAGAUCCUGCGUUGCCAUGGCUGCAGCUUUGAUUUGACCCCUAGCCUAGAAACUUCCAUAUGCUGCAGUUGCAGCCCUAAAAAGCAAAAAAAA